rnacentral:rRNA from 1 species
UACGUAGGGUGCAAGCGUUGUCCGGAAUUAUUGGGCGUAAAGGGUGCGUAGGCGGUCGGGUAAGUCUGAUGUGAAAUCUCACAGCUUAACUGUGAAACUGCAUUGGAUACUAUCCGGCUAGAGGAAUGGAGGGGAGACUGGAAUACUUGGUGUAGCAGUGAAAUGCGUAGAUAUUCGGAAGAACACCAGUGGCGAAGGCGACUUACUGGACACAUAUUGACGCUGAGGUGCGAAAGCGUGGGGAGCAAACAGG